rnacentral:lncRNA from 1 species
AAAAUGUGACCAGUCGUGGGUCCGGACGUCUUGAAACGAUCGAAUAACACUUUCGUAAAUGGUAUUUCAACAUUACCAUGAAUGGUAAAUCAUAGUGCAUUCUGAUUGGACCGUAGUUUGAUAAAAAGUGCGAUGCGCGGUCGAAAUCCUAGCUCGGCUCGAGGACGAGGUUAUCGUGUGCUGCAUGACUUUUUCAAUCGCCUUUAAUCAUCGAAUUUAAUGGAGGAUGCCCAACGAGGGAACGUCAGUGGUGGGUAAGAAGUGGCUUCCACUAGCAGCUCCCAUGAGAUCAAUUCUGACAGCAUAACAAAAUGGAUCUUCAAAGUGCUUCAAUGUAAAGGAUAUUAUCCAAAGGCAUCCCCGUGGGAAAGAAAUAGUAUAACACAAACUCGACGAUAACGACAGAAACCAGAUGCCUUCUGACAACUAUUGUGUUUGCGGAAAUGGUCAAGAUUUUCACCUAGCGAGAUAGCACUGUUCUCAUUCAUCAUGGCAAUAUACAUGGUUCCAGCUCAAACAGCAAGAAGGAAGAGUUCACUGGCAGACUCCAUGGGAUACUUUUUGGUGACUAGACCAAUUAGUACAAGUGUGGAAUCCCACCUGGCUGAAGAGAUGAAUGACAAGCGGAGACAACCAUACCUUUUGGGCAUAGGAGAUCACAACAACUCAUCUCAGUUUUUCAUUGUUGUGGAUGAUCUAGCUAUCCCCUGCGAAGGUGACAUCACAGAGACUGUUGACAAACUGUUUAAGGUCCAAUUCUUGUUCAACAUCCACUAUGCAGAUGAAGUCUAUGGAUUUUUUCUGGGGAUUUUUUGCAUUCAUACAGAACUUUGUUUACGGCAUAAGUGGACAAGAAGCAGUUCCAGCCCAUGCCAGAGAAAUGAUGGCAAGCAUCACUGCCUUGGAAGUGACGGCAAACAAAUGACUGACUUCAGUAUUGCCUGUCCUCAAACGAGCAUAAUUAACUCAAAAGGGUGUGGAGGUCACAUGGUAGGAUCAAAGAUCAUUUGUAUUCAUGAAGUGCUGGCUGAUAUUUUUUUCUGUUCCCACUUGGAACAUUCUUCCCUGUUAAAGUUGAUAGAGGAUGUUCACUUUUUAAAUGUACACAAUUCCAUAAUCAAUGGAAGAUCACUGUUGAAUAAAUUUGGGUUUAUUCAUCCUCAAAUAUUCCAGGAUAUUCUCAUAUUUUUUAAAAGAAAAAAAUCUUGGUCAGUAAUGUAUAUGUUAAAUAAAUUUACCUUGAACACAUCUCUUACAGUGCAUAUAUAUAAAAAAAAAUUAAACCCUUUUUAAAAUAAUUUUCACAAUCACAUUUCAAAAUAUGGAGAUGAUUUUUUUUUUAAUGGCUUUUGGUACUCUAUAGUCUCUUCUAUCAAAUGCUGCUUGAGCGAGCGGUGACCAUUUUUGUCCAGAGUGUCAAAAAGUGCUUUGUGCCAAAAUUGAAAGAAAAGGAAAAAUUAAUUCAGCAGUCUGAUUAGGAUUCAUACUCAAAUCACUUGCUCUUUUGCAUACAUUUAUGAUCAUUUCAGAAAUGGAUAACUUUCCUAACCUUGGAAGAAUGGGGGGGGGGUGUUUAAUUGAAAUGAUAACUUCAUUUUAGGGGGAGGGUGUCCCACUUCUGACAAAGCCCGAUAUAUUGAAUAAAGAUAUAGCAAAAAGCAGUCAUCAUACAUUCUUCCGUCUAUUCACUAAAAUGGGUGGAAAGGCUAAAGCUGUAACAACAAGUUGUGAAAUACUUUGGGGUUUUUUGGGGUUGUUAAAUACUUUCUUUUUUAGCUUAUUGACCCUAUACAUGUAUAGCAUGGCUAUUUUUGAAUUGUUUAGGCAGGGAUUGGCUGCUAAUGGUCUCAAAAGAUGCAUAGACUUAAAAAGCCAUGAAACAUAGCGAGAGCUUGUUGAGGUUAAGGGCUACAGCCCCCCUCCCGGCCGGAGAGGGUUGAGUGGCAAAAUGACAUACCAGACGGGAGAUAAAUACACUCAAUCGGUAGCAUGGGUAAAAAGUUAACAGUGUUAGAGUUUUGGAGAAAGUAUCUGAAUGUUAAUCAUAUUUAUAAGGAUAUUUUCAACUGUUAGAUUACUCUGCAAUUUUGAAAUGUAAUGUGUUCAAUUAACAGUGUUGAAUGCAUUUAAUGUGAUGGCAGUUACUAAAUUUGUUAUCUGUUAGAUUAAUGUGCAAUUUUGAAAUUUAAUGUGUUCAAUUAACAGUGUUGAAUGCAUUUAAUGUGAUGGCAGAUACUAAAUUUGUUAUCUGUUAAAUCACUCUGCAAGUUAAUUAUCUUCAAUUAACAGUGUUUGAAUGCAUUUAUAUGAUGGCAGUUAAGAAAGUUUUUUCUGGUGAAAUGUAUUGAUCCUUACUUGAGUAGUAUUUGUGUUGACAUGUAAUGGAGCAUGUUCCCAGCUUUUCUGGUAAUUAUUUGGACCUGAAUGGUUUGAAGGCAAUAUACUGUAUUAUGGCAAUCCAUUGUAUUAUGGUAUAAAGAUCUUUGGCUCAAUGUAAGAAAACUCUUUCAGGGCAUCAGCUCAUCAAGGAAAU